AACGAACGCUGGCGGCAUGCCUAACACAUGCAAGUCGAACGAGACCUUCGGGUCUAGUUGCGCACGGGUGCGUAACGCGUGGGAACCUGCCCUUAGGUUCGGAAUAACUCCCCGAAAGGGGUGCUAAUACCGGAUAAUGUCUUCGGACCAAAGAUUUAUCGCCUUUGGAUGGGCCCGCGUUGGAUUCGCUAGUUGGUAGGGUAAAAGCCUACCAAGGCGACGAUCCAUGGCUGGUCUGAGAGGAGGCUCAGCCACACUGGGACUGAGACACGGCCCAGACUCGUACGGGAGGGAGCAGUGGGGAAUAUAGGACGAUGGGCGAAAGCCUGAUCCAGCAAUGCCGCGUGAGUGAUGAAGGGCUUAGGGUUGUAAAGCUCUUUUACCCGGGAUGAUAAUGACAGUACCGGGAGAAGAAGCACCGGCUAACUCCGUG
rnacentral:rRNA from 1 species